rnacentral:rRNA from 1 species
UUGAACCUUCGGGGGAUUUGUUGGGCGGCGAGCGGCGGACGGGUGAGUAAUGCUUGGGGAUCUGCCCGGUCGAGGGGGACAACAGUUGGAAACGACUGCUAAUACCGCAUACGCCCUACGGGGGAAAGCAGGGGCUCUUCGGACCUUGCGCGAUCGGAUGAACCCAAGUGAGAUUAGCUAGUUGGUGAGGUAAAGGCUCACCAAGGCGACGAUCUCUAGCUGGUUUGAGAGGAUGAUCAGCCACACUGGGACUGAGACACGGCCCAGACUCCUACGGGAGGCAGCAGUGGGGAAUAUUGCACAAUGGGCGCAAGCCUGAUGCAGCCAUGCCGCGUGUGUGAAGAAGGCCUUCGGGUUGUAAAGCACUUUCAGCGAGGAGGAAAGGUUGUAGGUUAAUACCCUGCAGCUGUGACGUUACUCGCAGA